rnacentral:tRNA from 1 species
GAGAAAGAUAAAAGAACUGCUAACUCUUUACUCCAUAAUUAAACACUUUAUGGCUUUCUCA